rnacentral:misc_RNA from 1 species
UGAUCACUUGCAGAGGUCGAC